GCUCAAGGGAUCCUCCUGCCUCAGCCUCCCAAAGUGUUGGGAUUAUACUUUGUAAACCCAAAGUGUGAGCCAUCACGUCCAGCCAAAAAGUAUUCAGUAUUUUGAGAGUAUAAGUUGGAUAUGUGAUGUGAGAGAAAGAGAGGAAUCAGGGAUGACUUUGAGAUUUCUGGCUUAAGCAACUGGCAAGUAGGAGUUUUUAAUCAACUGAGGUGGGGAAGACUGUGGGUAGACUAAGUUUUGGGUGACAAGAGCAGGAUUCAGUCAGGGGAACCGAAGGGCAGGCUCUCUGUACCAGCACUCAGUAUGCAGUUUCAUAUCAAGUCAAAGGCUGUCUGAGGCCAACACUGGUCUUUGAGAGUGGGAAGUCCAAGCAAGCAGAAGAUGACAAGUAGGUGUCACUGGCUCUAAUGGAAGAUGGGCAAGAGAAGACCUCUACAUUCUAGAAAGUGAACUUGCUAUGUGGUUUGCCUGGCAACGGACAAGGUGAGGUAAAUAAUGCCACAGAAGUUCCAGGAUGAAGGAUUACAAGAGGUUUGUAAGAAAACUCAAGGGGUACGGUGGUUCAGAAAUGGACAUAACAGCCUAGAGGAAGACCUGGGAGAAGCCCUUGAAUAACCAUUGGUCCAUUGUGCAUCUAGGGUCCUUAACAAAAAGAUAAAAGACAAGUGUAUAAUAUGUUGGAAAAAAAUUUCCCAUUCCCACACAGGCUUGUCAUAUACCAGGAGGUAUCAACAAUCACCAAGCUCUCAUGCAUUAACUACCUGUUUCACCUCCAUUGAGGGAUAUGUCUCAUGUCAAUAAUUGGAUCUAUGAAACCUGGCUGUGAUAAAUACCAAGGAAUUCUAUGCCAGUUCACAGCAGUAAGAGUGCAGAAGUGCCAGGCUGAAGAGGCCAUGUCCAUCUGCUUAUUGCAAUUUCUUCCUGAAGAUUGUUUUUGGGUGCUUUAUCAAUUGUCCACAUUGUUCUGGGAGAGUGGAGCUCUAAACUACUGUGAGGAAAUUCUGUGCGCAUAGCUGGGGCCUCUCAGCUGCCAGACUUCUCUGUAGGGAACAAAGCAAGAACCAGACGAUUGCUGAUGGACCCUGACAUGCUGCAUCUGGAGAUGUUUCCUCAGAGAGAAACCCUCUGUUCCCUUGUGCUGAGAGACUGUGAGUCUAGGGAAGGGGUUGGCAUCUUCAUCAUUCAGUAAGCAGAUGGUUUUCAGCCUGGUGCCUCAGCCCUUCCCUCCACUGUCCCAGAUUUUAUCAAAUUUGGAGCUUCCCUGGUUCCAUUUUUCUAGAACAUAAAAUACUCUGCUCCUGUGAUGAUGGGAGAGGAGAUGUCACCUGGCUACAUAAGGUAAGAGAGGAGAACUGGCGGUCAAAGUCCUCCUUAUCUAGACUUCCUAUUGACCUGUUUUUCUGCCUUUUUCUGACACC
ensembl:lincRNA